rnacentral:rRNA from 1 species
UACAGAGGUCCCAAGCGUUGUUCGGAUUCACUGGGCGUAAAGGGUGCGUAGGUGGCGUGGUAAGUUUGAUGUGAAAGCUCAGGGCUUAACCCUGAAAUGGCAUUGAAUACUACUGCGCUGGAGGUUUGGAGGGGGGACUGGAAUUCUUGGUGGUAGCAGUUGAAAUGCGUAGAUAUCAAGAGGAACACCAGUGGCGAAGGCGAAGUCCCUGGACAACACCUGACACUGAGGCACGAAAGCUAGGGGAGCAAACAGGA